CACAGCGCCAGGGCAAUGCACAGCGCCAGGCACAGCACAGCUUCAGCGCAGCCUGGCCAGGAAGGGAAUGCUCCCAUGGAGUGCAGGAGUCAGCUGGUUGGAUUCCCAGUCCUGUGCUGAGCUGGCAGGGCACAGAGCCUCCUCAAGCACCGCUGCCUCCUCUCCAGGCUUCCUGCACUUCCUUUGCUGACAGGGUCCCAUCAGCCAGGGUGGGGGCAGGCUCAGCUGAUAUUACAAAGCACAAAGAUUUUUACAAAGGUUUCUUCAAAUCCCAAGAUGUUGUCUUGAGCUAAGAGGCUUUGGCUCUUUUUAUUCCAGAAUAAUGUAUCCAGGAUUUUACCCUGUCUGUUUCAAUGCAGCAAUAUUGUCUGCAGAACUUGGGAAGGUCCUGCUUUGGCUGCAGCAGAGCAGUUUCCCCAGCCUUUCAAGUACACCCAAGCUCUUGGUUGGAACUUGUGCACUGCUAUGUCCAGUCCUGUUGGUCUGGAGAUCGCCACUGCUCGCUGUAAGUCCUGUAAAGUUUUGCUAAGAGAAAUGAGGUAAUUAUUCAAAUCAACCUCUCCUUAUAUGUGUGUGUUUCCUGAAAUGUGUGGUACUUGGUAGGGUCAACCAUACAGCAGCUUACAGGGCCAGAUUUUGCUGGUGCCCCAUGUCUGAAUCCUGAUUCAAAGCAGAGCCACGGGUAAGGCUUGAACCAUGUCAAGGAGGUUUCCUGACAUAUUUUACCCAAGUUCAGUUGGAUUAUGUAAUUCAUUCUCUCUCCUUUGCCACUAGCUUGCGGUCUGUAAGGAGCAUGAAGACCCCAAGCUAUUCCCAAGGCUUUCCUAACCUCUUGUACCCCUUCUGCAAGAAAGUGGGAACCUCUAUCUAUGACAUUCCCAAAGGUACCCCAAAUCUAGGUAUUAUUUGAUUCAACAGUAUUUCAGCCACUUCCCUAGACUGGUUGAUAUGACAAGGGAAGUCUUCUGGCCACCCAGAAAAGGUAUCCACCAGAACUAGGAGGGAUUGAUACCCCCAUUUUCUGGGAAAUUGAGUGAAAUCCAUCAGGCACUAUUCCCUUGGAACACCUCCAGAUUUUAUGGCUCUUAGCACUACAUUAUGAGCUGUGCUACAGUUGUCUCUUUUACAAACUAUACAUUUUAGAGUCUUGGUUGUACAAUCUGAGCCAUUUCAGACCCAGCUAAAGUUUUUUGCAAAUGUUUCCAAAGUUUUUCAGUACUCCAACGAGUGGCUUUGUGUUUGCAAUCCAUUUUUUCACACAAGAGUGAUUCUGGGACUACUCUUUGCCCAGCUGGGAUAACUGCCCAGCCUUGUGGAUCAAAUCACGCUUCUACAGUUUCAAUUAAUUGACAGUCCCUAGCAUUAUACUCUGGUUUUUCUACUGGGAGAGGUAUCUCUGGCAAGGGUAUUAAAGAUAAAGCUUUGUUUUCUAACAUGUCUUUUUCUGCAGCCUCGUUGGCUAAAUGUUUCCCCAAUUCCAGUUUGGUCUUAUCCACUUGGUGUCCUCUGCAAUGCCUGAUGGCAAUUUCCUCUGGUUUCUGGAUACUUUCAAGUGUACCCAAGAUUUGUUUUCCAUUUUUGAUUGAUGUGCCUUGAGAGGUCAAAAGGUCCCUUUCUUUCCAGAAAUCCCAUGUGCCUGUAGCACUCCAAAGGUGUAUAAUGAAUCAGUUCAAAUGUUAACUCAUUUUGCUCUACUCAGUUCCAAAGCUCAGGUGACUGAAAUUAGUUCUACCUUCUGGGCUGGAACAUCAGAGGGGAGUGCCCCCGAUUGGAUUACCUCGGGCUGUGGAGUCACUGUGUAUCCAGAUGUUUGGAUAGGAAGAUUGAGGGCAUGGUCCUGUGAGAGAGCAGCUGCUCCUGCUGCCCGCUCUGCCUUUGGCAUCUGAUAUGCUGCAGGUGUGGCAGCUGCAGCAGGAUUUCCUGUGGGAAGAGGCAGCACUGCUGCCAUGGCCCUCAGACUGCAGGGGCCCUUGGCUGUGCCCCCAGCACAGGAGUGUCACCCACGGGGGGGCACAAGGGGAAGGGGAAAGGGCAUUAGGAGGGAGAGAAACCAGUGUCUAGGGAGUGUGUGAGGGAAAUAACAAUUGAUUUCCUUUUCCUUGAGUAAAGAGUUGCAAGAGCCCUGCUAGAGCUGCUGGUGGCUUGGCCUCUUGCAGGGCUGGGGAGAGCCCUGGGGCCAGGGCCCCUCCUCUUUUUGGGACACCAGGUCUAGCUGGGCAAGUGGCCCCUGUUCCAGCCAGGAGCAGAGGUGCUGUGCCUUCUGCCCUGGGCACAGGGACCUGCCACUGUCACCAGCUCUUUCCACAGCUCGUCCUGAUGCUGGGCCUGCCCUGAAGGGAUGGGCACAGGAGGGGAGUGGCUGUGAAACCCAGGGCGGGGCUUUCACAUUGCCUGCUCUCAGUGAGUGUCUGGAAAUGACAGUUUUCCAUCUUCUGCCAACCAAGGCUGCCAGUGUUUCUGUGUUUGUAUUGAUGAGAAGGGUAGAGUGUGGGUUUGUGGUUUCAUGGAGAGCAAAGCAGUGUCUGAAUUCAAUUGAUUUCAAUUUUUUCUUUCAUGGUAUUUUGUCUGUGAAAAGUCUGAAAAUCAAGGACAUCUUUCUGGAAUCUGCUGUCUGUGACCUCAAUACUGGCCGAGUGACCCUUCAGAACCUUGACCUGACUAAGCGAGCGCAUGAACUCUUUUAGGUCUUUUUAGAGGGAGAAAAUAAACCAAACCCAAACCUGUUUUCUGAAUCUUUGGAAAAUCUGACUUAUCCAAGACAGUAUCAUUUGGAAUGUACAGAUCUUCUGUUCAUCAUUCAUUCAGGUGCCUGUGAAGCCAGAGCAGCAAUGCUCUCUUCAAAGAUUUAACACAGCUGAUUGACAUCAAGUCGCUUGAAAUUUUGGCCUCAACUUUCAGUGAUAUUUUGAAUAUGACAAUUUCCGUUUCAGGGAGGAGCAGAAUGCAUUUGCACAGUUCCAUUAUGGUUUGUUUUUUUUUUUUUCAACACACAGAUUCUCUCAUUUCCCCUUCUGUAGCCUUAAGCAUUAAAGUCAACCAUCUGCUUUGGAAAUGCAGCUGAAAUGUAGCUCUUUCUGCUAUUUUGCUUAACUUUUUUUUAGGGGCUGAAAAUAUUCAGUUGUAAUUUGCUUUACAUUCUUUGUAUUAUUUGCCACUGUGGCAUUGGAAAAAUUCACAGGAGUUUCUCCCAUCUUGGAUUUCAAAAUAAUUUAAAAUAUUAUUAUAAAGACGAUUUGGCAAUAUUUAAUUUUUGCUUCCUGUGUAACCUUAUUAAAUCUGUGCUUUAAAACAGGUGUCACCUAGCAGGCUUUCUGUUCAAUGACAGCAGUUGCUUUUCAGCAGGCUGAUUUUCCUGUAGGACUAGCCAAGGAAAGUACCUUAGGAAACUGAGUUUUCCACAUUGUUGCAGUGUAGGAAUGGUAUUCCCUAGUUGAGUGCUCACACUGAUACCCCUCAGAGCACGUGCCCCUCACUGACUUCCCCACCACUUUCCCUGUGGCAGGAUGGAGAGAAGAGCACAAAUAGGUAAAGAUCAUGGGUUGAGAUCAGAACAAUUUACUAGAAACAGCAGUGAAAAAAGAACACAGACGGUCAUAACAGCACUAAAAGGAGAGUGUACCAGAGGCGAACGAGUCACACGUGAUCGUUCUCCACACAGAACUUGGCACAGCCCGUGACUUACAGCACACAGGUGGAGGAAGAACAAACCCUUCCAUUUGCCCCUGCCACGUGGCAGGUGGUAUCCAGUUACCCCAAGGUCCUGGCCGUGCUCCUCCGAGCUGCUGCAAAGAUCACCCUCCUGGCUGGAUCCAGGACACAGGAUCCUUCCUGCGGGUCCUGGCUCUUGCUCUGGGUGACAGACCCCCAUGGCAUCUGCCCCGGCAAAAGGGACUUGAGGACAACCUCUCACUUACUGACAUCAGCCCCUCUGCCCCUGCCCCAGCUCCCUUUUUGCCUCCAGAAAACUUUGAACAGAAGUAGCACUUAAGUACAGUUCUGCACAUCCUGAACUGGCAGGAAGGUGACCCACAUGUCGCUGUAGGCACAUGUGCAGCAAGGACAAAGAAAGUGUUUGAGGGGCUGGCUCUCAAGGCAUUCACUCAUGCAAUAGGAGCCCUGUUUCUGAGAGGCACAGCCAAGAGUGGAGCAGUCAGGUGUGGAGAACGGGGGAUCUCCUGAGCCAGGGAAACCCUGGGGGAGCAGAGAGACGCAGACACCGGGCAGACCCCAAGUGACACCUGCUGCUGGGGCACAGGCACCGCGGGGACACGCACACUUUGGGAAACGGCCUCUGGCUUCUGACUUUCUCAAUCCUGUGAUGGGCAAGAAGCAGAGGAUUGACCAAGAGCCCAGUGAUGUCCAGCCAGCAGCUGGUGGCCACUCUCCUUCUUUCUUGGACCUGCCUUCCACAUCCUGUUCAAUUUUGAACAUGUCUACAAAUGUCAGAUCCAUUUCCACUUCCACCCCUGAAGAACAACAGAAAAAUAAGGUUCAGACACAUUCUGGAUUGCCAGUGUCUGCCAGGGUGCAGGGGAAGACUCUCAAGUCCAAGGGAGAAGAAGCAGAGGUCAGAGGAGCCCAACAAAACAAUCCAGGUCCUGUGCCUGAGAAGAAGAGGAUGGUGCCUGUGAGACUUGCAGACAUCGACUGGAGCGGCUGCGCUGCUGUUUACGGCCGACCCUACAGGGACAGGGUGAUUCAUCUGCUUGCUCUGAGGGAUUACAAGGAGCCAGAGUUACUUGCUCGGCUGCAGAGAGAUGGAGUCAGGCCAAAGGACAAGGACUCCCUUGGAAAGAUCCUUCAGCAGGUGAGAUCAUGGAGCUUGUGCCAGCAAUUCGUCCAUUAUGCUGUUUUGCUGUUCCUAAUUUUACUACUUCCUCACCUGUUCAAAUUAGAGACUUUUCCAAUACUCCUUCAAGAUAAGUUCCACUGGUAUUUCUUUCUGAUAGGCUUUCGUCAGAGGCACACCCAUGGAAAGAUGCAGUAGCUCCUUCUUUCAUUUUUAAAUAUUCCCCAUGCACCUAAGCUGUUGCUGAAUUAUGCAAGCAUUAUUAUAUUAAAUAGGAUUAUUUCCUCUUUAGCUAAGAAAAAGAGUUUUGGAGCCUAGGCAAAGGAUUCAAAUUCAACGUGGAUACAGUUUCAGUUGUUCACAGGAUGACUUUUAAGAACUCAUUCUCUGAACCUGUGAAGUUUGUUGCUGUGUUUGCCCAGGGCAGUGGCAGAGCUUUUUCACCCUGCAGACAUUCACAACAUGAUGAGAGCCAUGUUCUGUCAUCCCAGCUGAAGUAGCUCCUUUAGAUUUCUGUAGUUUGCAUAUAGGUGUAAUGAAGAUUUGUUUUCCUGAACAUCUGCCUGUAGGUAGCCAACCUGAAUGCAAAGGAGAAUUCCUUCAGUCUGAAAGAACAGCUAUUUCAAACCCUUCAGACUGAUUGGCUGGCUACAGUAAAAUCGAAAGAAAGAGUUUGAAGUUAAUACUUUCUAGGUAAGUUCAGUCUCUUGGGGAAGGAAAAGAGCCUUUUCAGAAAAAAGCCCUGGAAAUAAAGCCUAGAUUCUUACAAUAUGCUGCACCAGCAGAGGCCCACCAGGGUCAUGGAAUCCAACUCCUGGCCCUGCACAGACACCAUGAGAAUCACACCCUGUGCCCAAGAGAGUUGUCCAAACUGUUCUUGAGCUCUUGCUGCAGUGACCACUGGCCUGGGGAGCCUGUUGCAGUGCUCGAGCACCCUCUGGGCCAUGAAUGUUUUCAUGAUAUCCUGCCUAAAGCUCCCUCAACUCUGCUUCAUGUUUUUCCCUUGAGUCCUGACACUGAAGGUCUGUUUUCCCUGCAAGGAAAGAACUAUGACAGUUGAUAUUUAGACUUUUUAACAUGAACUCUUGGACCAUCCAUAGAAAAUCAGCUCCAUCUCAGAACCCCACCAGCAGCAGCCAAGCGACAUCUCCAAGGCCUUCUGAGACAGAUGCUCCAGCAAGACCUGCUCAGAAACGGCCUCGAGCUUCUGGCUUUAUCAGUCCUGUGAGGAGCAAGAAACAGAGAACUGAGCAGUAGCCCAGUUACAUCCAGGCAGCAGCUGGUGGCUGCUCUUCUUCCUGAGUGCUGGCUUUGACAUCCCAUUCUACAGGGAUGUCAGAGCCAUCCCCAUGGAAUGGGAUGUCAAAGCCAGCACCCUGCCUCCAAGUCUGGGAUCCAUUCCCCUGCACCCUUUAGGUUCAAAAAAAGACAAAUGUUGGAGUUCUAGAAUGCCAGCACUCAUGUGUAGAGGACUAGCAUGUCCAAAAAGAUGUGAAGAGAACUGGGGAGGCUGAAGCAGUAGUGUCCCUUGGAUUUCAAUGAAGGAUAGCCCCAGCUACUCCGAGAUGAACAGCAGGUGCCAGUGGCUCCACAAAAAGCUGUCCCACAUUCAGCAAUGAAUAUCUGAAUUUGGCAAGCAGCAAGUCCUGGAGUCCUGGCACCAGUCUUCUGCUUCAGCAAAGGAACAUCUAUGAGCUCCAGCUGUUUUAUUUUAAAAGAAAAUUAUGUUUUUACGUUUCCUCAAGUUAGUAAUAAGGAGAUGAUUAUUUGUUAAAAAUGUAGGAUUAGUUAGUCUAAGAUUAGAGAAUUUAGUCUUGAACUUUAGCAAUAAAAAAGUUGCAUUUCCGUUAA